ACCUAGCGUAGUUCGGAAUUACUGGGCUUAAAGAGCCCGUAGGUGGUUAAGAAAGUUGGUGGUGAAAUCCCAAGGCUUAACCUUGGAACUGCCACCAAAACUUUUUAACUAGAGUAUGAUUGAGGUAAGCGGAAUUUCUAGUGUAGAGGUGAAAUUCGUAGAUAUUAGAAAGAACACCAAUUGCGAAGGCAGCUUUCUGGAUCAUUACUGACACUGAGGUGCGAAAGCAUGGGUAGCGAAGAGGAUUAGAUACCCUCGUAGUCCAUGCCGUAAACGAUGUGUGCUAGACGUUGGGAAUUUAUUUUUCAGUGUCGCAGCAAAAGCGUUAAGCACACCGCCUGGGGAGUACGACCGCAAGGUUAAAACUCAAAUGAAUUGACGGGGACCCGCACAAGUAGUGGAGCAUGUGGUUUAAUUCGAAGAUACACGCAGAACCUUACCAACACUUGACAUGUUCGUCGCGACUCUAAGAGAUUAGAGUUUUCGGUUCGGCCGGACGAAACACAGGUGCUGCAUGGCUGUCGUCAGCUCGUGUCGUGAGAUGUUGGGUUAAGUCCCGCAACGAGCGCAACCCUUACUUUUAGUUGCUACCAUUUAGUUGGGCACUCUAGAAGAACUGCCGGUGAUAAGCUGGAGGAAGGUGGGGAUGACGUCAAGUCCUCAUGGCCCUUAUGUGUUGGGCUACACACGUGCUACAAUGGUAUUUACAGUGGGAUGCAAAGAGGCAACUCCAAGCCAACCCUUAAAGAAUACCUCAGUUCGGAUUGUACUCUGCAACUCGAGUACAUGAAGCUGGAAUUACUAGUAAUCGCGGAUCAGCGCGCCGCGGUGAAUACGUUCCCGGGUCUUGCACACACUGCCCGUC
rnacentral:rRNA from 1 species